CCCUGUAGACAGUUCAGAUCAUAUGGAGCAGUAGCAGUCCAAAGUCGGACAUCAUGCAUGUACUGUUGAUAGCUAGCCUCAAUUACUCAAGGAUCUCCAAGCUGCAUGCCUCCAAUAAUGUUGCCGGUGUCAUGGCUCUCCACGGUGCUGAAAUUGUUGAGAGGAAUGUCCUGAAGAAACUCAGGUUGCAGUCAUGGGCCACACUAACUUAUGUCGGUUUCCAUGUAAGAAUUAUUACGUAUGGAUUGAACCAGUAAAUAGCCUGAAUCAGGGAAAAGGGCCAAAGUUGGAUUCCUGAAUCGGGU